GACGAACGCUGGCGGCGCGCUUAACACAUGCAAGUCGAGCGAGAACCGGUCCUUCGGGACCGGGGAAAGCGGCGAACGGGUGAGUAACACGUGGGUAAUCAACCCUUGGUACCGGGAUAGCCCGAGGAAACUCGGAUUAAUACCGGAUGGCCCAACAGCUCUUCGGGGCGGUUGGGAAAGGUAGCUUCGGCCUCCGACCGAGGACGAGCCCGCGGCGGAUUAGCUUGUUGGUGGGGUAACGGCCUACCAAGGCGACGAUCCGUAGCUGGUCUGAGAGGACGAUCAGCCACACUGGGACUGAGACACGGCCCAGACUCCUACGGGAGGCAGCAGUGGGGAAUCUUGCACAAUGGGCGAAAGCCUGAUGCAGCGACGCCGCGUGAGGGAAGAAGGCUUUCGGGUUGUAAACCUCUUUCAGGAGGGACGAAGCUACUCGGGUUAAUAGCCCAGAGGGUGACGGUACCUCCAGAAGAAGCCCCGGCUAACUACGUGCCAGCAGCCGCGGUAAUACGUAGGGUGCGAGCGUUGUCCGGAAUUAUUGGGCGUAAAGAGCUCGUAGGCGGUUUGUCACGUCUGCUGUGAAAUCCCGAGGCUCAACCUCGGGCCUGCAGUGGGUACGGGCAGACUGGAGUGCGGUAGGGGAGAAUGGAAUUCCUGGUGUAGCGGUGGAAUGCGCAGAUAUCAGGAGGAACACCGAUGGCGAAGGCAGUUCUCUGGGCCGUAACUGACGCUGAGGAGCGAAAGCGUGGGGAGCGAACAGGAUUAGAUACCCUGGUAGUCCACGCCGUAAACGUUGGGCGCUAGAUGUGGGGACCUUUCCACGGUUUCCGUGUCGUAGCUAACGCAUUAAGCGCCCCGCCUGGGGAGUACGGCCGCAAGGCUAAAACUCAAAGGAAUUGACGGGGGCCCGCACAAGCGGCGGAGCAUGCGGAUUAAUUCGAUGCAACGCGAAGAACCUUACCAAGGCUUGACAUAACCGAGAACGCCGCAGAAAUGUGGAACUCUUUGGACACUCGGUUACAGGUGGUGCAUGGUUGUCGUCAGCUCGUGUCGUGAGAUGUUGGGUUAAGUCCCGCAACGAGCGCAACCCUUGUCCUAUGUUGCCAGCACGUAAUGGUGGGGACUCGUAGGAGACUGCCGGGGUCAACUCGGAGGAAGGUGGGGACGACGUCAAGUCAUCAUGCCCCUUAUGUCCAGGGCUGCAAACAUGCUACAAUGGCCAGUACAAAGGGCUGCGAAACCGCGAGGUCGAGCGAAUCCCACAAAGCUGGUCUCAGUUCGGAUCGGAGUCUGCAACUCGACUCCGUGAAGCUGGAGUUGCUAGUAAUCCCGGAUCAGCAACGCCGGGGUGAAUACGUUCCCGGGCCUUGUACACACCGCCCGUCACACCACGAAAGUCGGCAACACCCGAAGCCGGUGGCCCAACCCUUUUGGGGGGGAGCCGUCGAAGGUGGGGUUGGCGAUUGGGGUGAAGUCGUAACAAGGUAGCCGUACCGGAAGG
rnacentral:rRNA from 1 species